CUUUGGGAUAAGACUGCUGCUUACGACCAGGGAGUAAGAGCUCCUGAGAGCCGAACACCAGCAUUCCCAAACUGUCGGAAUUCUUCAUUUGUCUUCGACCCAGACGCCGAAAGCUCUUCAAACAGGAUACGGAGGUAGAUGGCAAAAGAGAUUUGAAGUGAUAGCCCAUUUUAGAGAAGAGAAAGGCCCUAAUUGUCUCCGCUCCCCACAGCUCCCUCCCUGUGACAGCCUCGCAUGCCACUGGAGAAAGAAAAGGAGAAGAAAGCGGCUGAGAGAGAUAGAGUGAGAGAAGAAGAAAAAAAACGAGCGAGGGAGAGAGAGAGAGAGCUGGAGAGGACAGUUUCGCUGUGCAGCUGCUCCCGUGGAUGUUUUUGGAUUACAUCAGUGCUCUGCCAAAGAAAGGAGCGAAGGACAGAUAGACAAGGGAUCAGAAGGAGAAGGGAGCGGGGCACACUCCACAAAUCAGGGCUCUUAGUUCGGGAGGGGGCCCCGGCUCGGUUCUUGGAGUUCUCUCGGACAGAGCUGUCAUUGUUAGCAGGUUGAAGUGGGUAAAGCCAGGGCUGAAUAGUGCAGCAGGCCCCCCUCGUCACCACUGCACCCCCCCUCGAUCUACAUCCUGACAACACAGCAACAGCAACUCAACCUUGCCCUGUCAGCUGCCUGCGCCUGAGCCCCACGCCUCGGCCCCGCGCCUGAGCUUGGCAUGCAGCUGAGAUUACAUUGCUCUGGACACACACUCCUGGUUCGUCUUUGGAAUUAAUACUUACACAUCUCUGUUUGGCCAGCAGGCACAGGGCAUUGAGGCUGUCAAACAGAACGAGAGAAAAGGGGGGAACUAGAAAUAUACAGAGGAGUGAAGAAAGGGCUUUUGUUGCAUUAGAACAUCAUUAGGUAUCACUUUGUAGUGUCAUUUCGCAAUGUUUUCAGGUGUUUUGGUGGUGGUUUUGGUUAUAUUACUGCUGUUUCGCAGGGUUUUAUGGCAUGUCAUCUGCCUUUUCAUUGGCAAUAAACUGCUUAGGAAAAAGCCGAGAGACCGGGGACAGAAGGAAUUGUCAGAGUAGACGUCACUAUGAAUGUUCAUGAAUGUCAUUUGGGUAAAAAUUGUCCAUUCACAUUUAUUUUCAGCUACUAGUACUAAUAAUAAUAAUAAGGAUAAUAGUCAUGAUCAUCAUAAGGUGGUACGGUAGCUUAGUGGUUAGCACCUCCUAGUUCCUCCAGGUACUCCGGUUUCCCCCCACAGUCCAAAGACAUGCAGAUUAGGCUGAUUGGAUUUCUCAAAUUGCCCGCAGUGUCUGAACAAGCGUGUGAGUGUGUGUGUGUGUGUGGCCUGUCAUGGAUUGGCCACACCUCAUGCCCUGUCCACGUCACCUGAAAUAGCCUCCAGACACCUGGCCCUGUAUACAGGAUAAGAAUGUACUGUAUAGACGAUGGGUGAGUGAGUGAGCGAUAUGAUCAUCAUGAUCAACUCAGGUUGUGAUGUAAUAUCAGUAAAUCAUUUCUAUACAUUCACACAAAUCAGAUUAAAUAAUAAUACAAACCAGGGUGAAUAAAAGUGGUUCUUGGAAACAUGAAGCCAGAUAAAAUUAAACUAAAUUAGCCAAUUUUUUUAAUGAACAUAAUGAUUAUGUAACUCGAUGACUAUAUAAUGCAAAUCAAAACUUUUGUGAUUAUGACAAAUUAGCGAGUGCACUACCAAUUAACUGAUAAAUAGUUUUUCUAUUUGUCUCUUUUAGAUGAGAAAAUCACACUCAGCUUUUCUUUACUGCCAUUUUUUUAACCUAUUGUAUUAGGUUGUUUUCCAGUUUAUAAUUAGGAAUAAAUGAUUCUACACAAGAUAAUAUUCAUGUGUGUUUAAAAUGCUUCUUUUAUCCCUAGAAACUGUCUAACGUGUGGGAAAUCCUAUAAGAACAAAUCAUUGUAAUUUCUUUUUGGCAUUAAAUAAAUGAUAAUAAAUGCAUUUAACUCAA